GAUGAACGCUGGCGGCGUGCCUAAUACAUGCAAGUCGAGCGAACAGACGAGGAGCUUGCUCCUCUGACGUUAGCGGCGGACGGGUGAGUAACACGUGGAUAACCUACCUAUAAGACUGGGAUAACUUUGGGAAACCGGAGCUAAUACCGGAUAAUAUAUUGAACCGCAUGGUUCAAUAGUGAAAGACGGUUUUGCUGUCACUUAUAGAUGGAUCCGCGCCGCAUUAGCUAGUUGGUAAGGUAACGGCUUACCAAGGCGACGAUGCGUAGCCGACCUGAGAGGGUGAUCGGCCACACUGGAACUGAGACACGGUCCAGACUCCUACGGGAGGCAGCAGUAGGGAAUCUUCCGCAAGGGGCGAAAGCCUGACGGAGCAACGCCGCGUGAGUGAUGAAGGUCUUCGGAUCGUAAAACUCUGUUAUUAGGGAAGAACAAAUGUGUAAGUAACUAUGCACGUCUUGACGGUACCUAAUCAGAAAGCCACGGCUAACUACGUG
rnacentral:rRNA from 1 species